UCUGUGGUAGGGAAGAACAAGUAUCGUUCGAAUAGGGCGGUACCUUGACGGUACCUAACCAGAAAGCCACGGCUAACUACGUGCCAGCAGCCGCGGUAAUACGUAGGUGGCAAGCGUUGUCCGGAAUUAUUGGGCGUAAAGCGCGCGCAGGCGGUUUCUUAAGUCUGAUGUGAAAGCCCACGGCUCAACCGUGGAGGGUCAUUGGAAACUGGGAGACUUGAGUGCAGAAGAGAAGAGCGGAAUUCCACGUGUAGCGGUGAAAUGCGUAGAGAUGUGGAGGAACACCAGUGGCGAAGGCGGCUCUUUGGUCUGUAACUGACGCUGAGGCGCGAAAGCGUGGGGAGCGAACAGGAUUAGAUACCCUGGUAGUCCACGCCGUAAACGAUGAGUGCUAAGUGUUAGAGGGUUUCCGCCCUUUAGUGCUGCAGCUAACGCAUUAAGCACUCCGCCUGGGGAGUACGGCCGCAAGGCUGAAACUCAAAGGAAUUGACGGGGGCCCGCACAAGCGGUGGAGCAUGUGGUUUAAUUCGAAGCAACGCGAAGAACCUUACCAGGUCUUGACAUCCUCUUGACCUCCCUAGAGAUAGGGAUUUCCCUUCGGGGACAAGAGUGACAGGUGGUGCAUGGUUGUCGUCAGCUCGUGUCGUGAGAUGUUGGGUUAAGUCCCGCAACGAGCGCAACCCUUGACCUUAGUUGCCAGCAUUCAGUUGGGCACUCUAAGGUGACUGCCGGUGACAAACCGGAGGAAGGUGGGGAUGACGUCAAAUCAUCAUGCCCCUUAUGACCUGGGCUACACACGUGCUACAAUGGAUGGUACAAAGGGUUGCUAGACCGCGAGGUUACGCCAAUCCCAUAAAACCAUUCUCAGUUCGGAUUGUAGGCUGCAACUCGCCUACAUGAAGCCGGAAUCGCUAGUAAUCGCGGAUCAGCAUGCCGCGGUGAAUACGUUCCCGGGCCUUGUACACACCGCCCGUCACACCACGAGAGUUUGUAACACCCGAAGUCGGUGAGGUAACCUUUUGGAGCCAGCCGCCGAAGGUGACAGAAUGUUU
rnacentral:rRNA from 2 species